rnacentral:snRNA from 1 species
AUGCCCACUUCAGCAGCACAUAUGCUAAAAUUGGAAUGACACAGAGAUUAGCAUGGCCCCUAUGCAAGGAUGACACACAAAUUCAUGACGCAUGCUAUAUUUUU